CUACGAAAGCGUACCUGCAUUUGUGUGGACGGUUCAUGGGAUUAAGUUUGACUCAGAGAUUCCAAAUGACCUUCAUAUAAAGCACCCACAGGAGCUAGGUGACUUCAACCCCCAUCAAUAAUAAUAUUUAAUGAUCGGGAGACAUCAAGACCCCGAAUCGAAGUCCAAGCAGUGUGGCUCAACGGUGAGAUUAUAUUCUCACUUGAUGGUGUGAGAAUCAAACUGGCAUUGUAUGCUUCAAUCAGGGAUUCAAAACUUUUAAUUUGUCAGAGCAUUCACGUUACCUGCGCAAUCCGUCGACCGUCGAUAAACCAUUCUCCGUCUUGAAAUCCACGCCGUACGCCUGGAGCCCAUAAGGGAUCGUAUUCAUGCAGCAGCCGAUCCCGUUCACGAAGUCAUUGUGGCUGCCAGUCCCAUUGAUGGCGCAAGUCGACCUGCAGCCGCCAACCGCCGACUGCAUGCCGAUGUUGACCAUGAACGCCAGGUUGCUGCACCCUCCGGACACGAUCACAUUCUUUGUCUGCACGUACAUGUAGGGACUCCUUGUCAAGUUCAACGAUGUCGUGAUGUCGCCGUUCACUGCUCCGCCCGUGCAGUAUGGCAGGUCCGGCUCAGAGUAGACGACCGGCUGAGAGACGUCAAUGAAUCUGCCGGGAGCUCCGGAGUCGUCCAGCACGGGAAGGGAAAUGUCGAGCACUGUUACAUUCAUGAGGUUCUACAACGUGGCAACAGGGUACCAUUGCUGCCAAGGUGGCACUCGAUCUCAUAGAGUUCAUCCAGGAAGCAGCUGGACCCGAUCCCGAAAGGGAAUGGAACCGUCAAGUUACCACACGUGGCGGCACAGUUGGGCAGGGCCACCGGGGGAAGUGGGCCUUGUACUUCAUCGGCAGCAGAAAGAGAAGGACAUAAACAGCGACUAGUUUGAUCACCACUCGCAGUAUCAUUGUGAUCAUCAUCCUGAUUUCGUUUUGAUUUGUUGGUGGGAGUGCUUUGCUCCCAAUGUGUUUUCAGUUUGAAGCUGAGAGAAGAAUGAGAGGAUUGGUCUUUAUAUACAUAAACACGCGAUGCACGAUUGAGAGCGCUUCCAUUGUUGACAGUGAUGAUAACUUCUAGAUUUUGGCUUCCUCUAGGCCGCUGGUAACGAGGUUUGUUUCGUAUUGUUAA